ensembl:lncRNA
AUGAAUCAAGUCACGUCUCAGCUGAGCUUCCAGAGCCUCGUCACGUCUCAGCUGAGCUUCCAGAGCCUCGUCACGUCUCAGCUAUCCAUGAACUCACGGCCUGUCCUGUCAUGGCCACGGAGGCCGUCCACCAACUCACGGCCUGUCCUGCCACGGCCACGGAGGCCGUCCACCGACUCACGGCCUGUCCUGUCACGGCCACGGCGGCCGUCCACCAACUCACGGCCUGACCUGCCACGGCCACGGAGGCCGUCCACCGACUCACGGCCUGUCCUGUCACGGUCACGGAGGCCGUCCACCAACUCACGGCCUGCCCUGUCACGGCCACGGAGGCCGUCUAUGAACUCUCUGCCUGCCCUGUCACGGCUAUGGAGGCCAUUUGGGAACUCUCCAACCGCCUUAUCACGGCCACGGAGGCUGCCAUUAAUCUGUUUAUGUUCUCUGUUUCAGUCCUACCUGACCAGACUUGCUCUCCUGUGCCAUCUACUCCACUGUGGUGGUCCUCUGCUCUGCCCUGGUGGGCUUUUGGUCCAGCUGCUCAGCUGUGGUGGUCCUCUGCUUCACCCUGGUGGGCUUCUGUCCCAUCUGCUCAACUGUGGGGGUCCUCUGCUCCACCCUGGUGGGCUCCGCCUGCUCCGUCCCGGUGGGCUCCAGUUCCAUCUGCCCCACCCUGGAGGGCUCCUGCCUCACCAGUCUCAACCUGGUUCUCUACUUUGCCUGCUCCACACUGGUGCUCUUCGGCUCCGCUCUGGCUUCCUGCUCUGCCGGCCCCGCCUUGGCUCUUUGCUCCGCUGUGGCACCCUGCUCAGCCAGCUCUGCCUCCCUCCCUUGUCCAUCCACUUCCACAUGGACCUGGUCCUCCAUCCCUCCCCCGUUCUACCUCUGCUCCAACCCCCACCUGAACGCUGGUCUACUCCCGCUGGGGGGGGGGGGGGGGCUAUGCCACGAUCAUCAGCUGGAGUGCCCAUGAACUCCAGUAGAGGGCACUCCACUCAGGACUCUAGCAUUUGUUGUCCAUUUUCAUUUCCAACUCCAUUUCCCAUAAUCCCAUGUUUAGGGCUAAACACCACCAGGUGUUCCCCAUUACCACUCCCCUAUAUAUACGGUGUUUGGACUCUCAAUGAUUGCGAAGUCUUGUUUAGCCUGGUCUAG